AGAUGGAAGGAUCGAGACAGAGAGAACGAGGGUGAGAAAAGGAGAGAGAGAAAGAGCAACAGCGUAAGCGGAGGAGUGCGCGGCUGUGGUGCGUGUGUCGGUCGGUCGGUCGGUCGUCGCCGCUAUGCUAGUGGUUAGUUUAGUGAACCAAACAUCAUGAUGUGGCAAAACGUUCUCACGAGCUAAAAGCUGGAGCAACGCCGCGUUAACCGGCGCGCCGUCGUUAUGUUAUCCACAAUAACUCACGAGGUUCGAUAAAAAGCGUAAACAUUGUUAAACGCGAAAAGUACAAACAAACAAACACAAGCAAACAAAAAAAAAUCCCUGCGACUAGAGUUCCACGGCAAGGAAGACGACGACGACCACGGCGACGACGACGACGACGACGGCGACGGCGACGGCGACGGCGACGACGACGACGACGACGACGACGACGACGAGAACGACGACGACGACGACAAGGAUAAAGACGACGACAAGGAAAACAACGUACGGUCACCGGUAUAACGACGACGACGACGGCGACGACGACGACGACGACGACGACGACGACGACGACGACGACGACGACGACGAAGACAACCGCGACGACAACAGUGGCAGCGACGACGACGACUCAUUCGUGCUUCUAUCUUCGCAAGUGGGAUUCCGCACUAUGUCAGUCCCGAUGUAAAUUAAAGUUGUAUCGUAUGUGUCGGAGUGAGAGAAUUACGCAAAGAAGAUAUAACCACCCUUACAACGAUAUAUAUCUUGGAAGUGACGAGUGUCAACGAUCAGCCUCCAUCGCGCGGUAAGGAGACGAUCACGAGCGUAUACACGAUGUUGGAUCCAAGCGUAUUGACUGAUUUGGAGGAGCUGACGCUUUGCAAUUAUUGCAAGCAGAAGUACAAUGAUGCCGAGCAAUGUCCAAAAUACCUUAGCUGCAAACACUAUUUCUGUUUGCGUUGCAUAGAAAACAAUUUGUUAAAGGGACGCGAUCUAUUCUGUGCGCACUGUUGGAAGAGGACCGAUCUCGGUGAUCAAGGACCUGAUGCUUUGCCGACUCAUUCUCCGCUCCUUGCCCUAGCCAACAACUUGUCACAUUUAAAGAUCACGUCGAACAACACGUCCAAUAAAUGUGUCGACAAAGAGAGAAAGAGUGAAAAUUGUCACACUCAUGGAAUGCCUUUGGCUCUUUGGUGCGCAACAUGCUGUACGGCACUUUGCAGAGCGUGUGCAACGCCUCAAGAACAUCCGGGACAUCAGAUUAAGUCGCAAACCGAUGCCAAAGAACAACUUAUAUCCGAUGUCCAAUUGGAACUAGUCGCCAUGGGGAAGCUGUCGAACGAGAUACAAAGACUGGCAAUGCAGCAACGAGAAUUCUUAAUAAAAGUAUUAGAGGCAUGCGUGACGCUGAAGACACACGUGGAAACGGAUCUACAAAAUGGCUGGAGUCAUUUUCCAGAAAUUACGGAUGCUCGUGAAACUUUAGGAAAAGCAAAGGCCAGUUUGUCGAUGAUCGAUAGCCCUAGCGACGUUUAUAGCUUGCACUCACAAUUGAUCGUCGAGAAGCAAAGGUUGCAAUCCAAGUACCAAGAGAUGAUGUUGCAAUGUCAAUUGGACGAUCUGAUAGGAAAUUCCGGAGUCGUUUUCGACUUUGCUCUUUUGAAACAAGCGUUGGCGGGUAUACAUACGGGAGAAUCGAUCGUAUCUCAAACGUCGGGCAAUGGCGGUAGAUUGGCCAAUCAUCUAACGGCUUCGCAAAAUCCUAUACUAUUCCUCGCGAAUUAUUGUAUGUCGCAGUUAUACUCGAGACAUCUCGUUAGCAAGCAACACAUGCAAAAUGGCUCGAUCGAAUAUCAUUCGGGUAUGAUGGGCCCGCAACAAGCUCCACCUGUUCACGUUCAUCAAGGUCCACCACAGGCGUCUCAAAACAAUCCUCAGCAACAGCAGCAGUCGCAAUCGCAACAGCAACUUCUUAUCCCACCCGGUUCGCCGUCCGUAAAGCCCGUUCCACCUGCACCACCUAACGCCAUGUUGCAUCCGCAACAACAGUCGACGUUUAUGCCAGAAGCAGUAGGCGCUAGCGGGGCAAGUUUGGUAGCCGUCCACUCGUCCCCUCAACAACCACCGUCCACAGGGAUGGCGGCGUCUCUUCGUGGCCCAUCCAAUCCCUAUCCGCUUUAUUACUUCAACAUAGAAGUCAAUGGAUCUCCUCACGGCCGUAUCGUUAUCGAGGUGAGACCUGACGUCGCGCCAAAGAUGGCGAAGAAUUUUAGCGUAUUAGCAACCGGUGAGGUUGGAGUCGGUUACAAGGGAUGUACGAUAUUUCAAUGCUGGGAAGGGGAGUCGGUGAUAACGGGAGACUUUGAACUUAACAAUGGUCGAGGAGGCAGGAGCAUAUUCGAAGAUGGGUACUUUAUGCCAGACGACACAAAGUUUCCAGCGGUCAGAGGAACCGUGGGAAUGAGAAGAACGCAGAAACGUCAUGAUAAUCUCGGCAUGGUUGGCUCUCAGUUUCGUAUCAUCCUACAAGAAAUGCGAGGAUUCACGGGAAUUUUUGGCCACGUCGUGGAAGGGCUCGAUCUAGUUGAAAAGAUAUCAACGUUUGGUGAUCAGACUGGCAAGCCUACUAAGAAUAUUCUAAUUACGAACUGUGGUAAAUUGUAACGGCUUCUCCAUUACGUUUGGUACCGAAUGGUAACGAAUACCUAAUCAUACCUUACGUUUUUUCCCGUUCUAGGUAAACUAAAGGAAGUGUCGCGACGGUGUCACCGAGAGAAAAUCAAAAAAAAAAGAAACGGGCUUCUUAUGCAUAUUCCUUUUUUUUUUUCUCACCUUUUUUCCCCCCCUAGGUGCGAUAUAGGGAAGUCUUAUGGACGAUAAUAUGUAUGGAGAAUUAUGCGCGUAAUGUCUAACGAAAAGAUAUUAUUAAAUCUCCAUAUGUAAAUUCUCAUUGGAAGACACCGUCGCGACAUACAGUUCCAAAUAAAUCGCGAUGCUCCGUAUGAAAUCACACAACUUAAUUAACUAUUUACAAUAGAAUCUAAAGAUGUUGAAUCUAUUUUUAAACGUGGACGCGUUAGAGAAAAUGAUGCUGCUACUACUACUACUAUUACUAAUAAUAAUGGUGAUGAUGACGACAACGACGGGGACGACGACGACGACGACGACGACGACGACGACGACGACGACGACGACGACGACGACGACGACGACGACGACGACGAAGAUGGCGAAGAUGAUGACGAUGACGAUGACGACGACGACGACGACAAUUAUGACGAUGAUGAUAAAGAUGAAAGAGAGAAGAAAAAAAGAAAUAAAUACCCAUAUUUUGCUAUUGAUCGGGAAUCACGAAGAUUCUAUGUCUACAAUAACGACGAUGAUCGACACAUACGUACCUCAGAUCGAUCGUGAUAUCGAUACGACUUCUAGCUGUACGGUAUUUGUUUUAGAAGAGGUUCGACGUUUAUUUUUGGCUAUCGGCGUAUUGCUACGUAUAGUUUAUAGAGCGUAUCGCGCGCUGCGAAGUUAAAAGUCACGUAUUAUGUCAGGAAGAAAGAGAAAGGUGACAGCAAAACUUCGGUGUGCGCUUCUAAUGUCUUAGGUCGUAGAUAGUAUAAAUCGUGUAAACGGGAAAUAACUAAGAAAUCUUUUUUUUUCUUUUUUUUUUCUUUUUUUUUUUUUUUUUUUUCGUUUUGUUUGUUUUCUUAAGACAAACGUGCUUACGUGUGUAUCUUUUGCGUACGCACGUAAACACGUAAAUCAAAAGAAAGCACAUAAAGGUCGGGGAUUAAAAUAAGGGUCGAAAGACGCGCUUGACUUCGAAUUAUCCGGUAACUGUGAUUCCGUACGCAGGAUCGUUUUAGAAGUUUAACAAAAACUAUCGAACGAUACGUAGGCAAGUUAAGAAGACAAUUCCGUUUCGUCGUCUUAUAAACGAUCGCGUAUCGUUCCAUUCCGGGAGGAAGAGAAAGGAGCCAAAAGGGAAAAAAGAAAAGAAUUAUUUGGGGAUUAGACGUGUACCGAAUAGCAUAGAAGGAAUGAUAAAGAAAUGUUUUGGGUCCCACCGAGAGAGGCUCCAAGAGAUUAUUCCCUUUUUGCUCUUUCUGUCGACUAGUAAAGUCGUCGUAAAUUAACUGUAUUUAAGGUUAGAUCUCAACAUGCAAAUGUAUACAAGGCCUAACUACUACUAUGUAGACCGUAAGCCUCAUCGUCUGAUCCAGAAGACAAAACGAGUGGAAUUAAUGGAUACAUACGUACAAAAACACACACACACACACACACAGCAGACAGACACAAGUACGUAGAUAUAUACGUACACGCAUAUAUAAGGUCAUACACACGUAUACAUAUUAAACGAAAUCAUUCCUCGAUGCUGUAUAUCGAAGUAUUACGAUAAUGUAAUGCGUUAUAGUAUUCGUCUAAAUCCACGUAAAAUCCCAUCGUUAUAUAUCGUACUAUCUCGUGUACAACGCGUGCGAGUGACGCGUUUCUAAAAAAAAAAAAGAAAAAAAAAGAAAAGAAAAAGAAAAAAAGAAAAAGAAAAAAAAAGAACGUGUAAGAACGAAAUGUGCAUUAAAAUGGCAAAGCACAUUACUCUCACACGUAUGUAGGUACAUAUAUGCACGCCCUCGUCGUCGCGGUUGCCUUUUUUGAAGAGAGCCUCAUUCGAUGUUGAACUUGAAAGUUUUAACACUUGUUGAUUAGCUGAAUAAUGCGUCGCGUGCGAUAGGAACGCAUUAUCGCGGCGACGAACGAAUGUAAGAGAGAAUUGCCGUUAGAAUAAUUACAUGAAAGAAGAAAGAAAAAAAAAAUAAGAAAAGAAGUUACACGCAUACAAAAAAAAACAAACAAACAGCAAGCACGCACGCAGGCACACACACACACACACACACAUACAUACAAGAAGUACGUACGACGAUAAGGAGGGUGCUCGUGCUCUCGAGUAAAUUUUUCUCGUUUCGGUGCAAAGAGACAAAGCGAAAGCCGAAUAAUAGUAUAGAGUAAUUUUUUUCUCCAGCUGAGAAAAAACAUACGUAAACAAAGUUCGUAUAUAUCACCGAAACGAGCGAAUGCUACAAGGCCCACCUCUAUAUACACAAAGUGAAAAAAAUAUCCCACACGCGCGCGUAUAUAUACUACAUAUAUUUUUAUGAACGUGAUGAGGUAACAACGCAUAGCUUGUAAUAUCGAUCUUAAAUGACCGACAUUGGUUUACCCUCGCCCCUCGCGUUCGAAUUAAAAACGAUUGAGCGGCUAUAACUCUUAUUAAGUUUUUCCUUGCGAAUCUUCAAAUUCCUUUUUCCUACCUCUGUAUCUCGUGUCCUCUAUCUAUCUUUCUUUACAACGACUUUCUUUUUGUUCCUUAUCUGUUAGUCUGUCUGUCUUCUAUCUAUCUAUCUAUCUAUCUAUCUAUCUAUCUAUCUAUCUAUCUAUAUAUAUAUCUCUUCUCUUCCCUAUCCCUACCGCUCCAUUCCCCCCUCUCUUCCCUUCCACCUAUUAUGUUAAGGCGUAAUGAGCAUUAUAAAAAAAAUCGAAAUAUUUUGUUUAUAGUCUACGGUAAGCGUAUAUCCGUAGGGCUCUCGCUUAAACAAUUUUAUUAUUUCAUUAUACAUGCGUACGAGAUGAACGUUCGUUACCCAACUUAAAUGUACUUUUAAUCGAUAAAUUUUGAGUUAUAAACUGUUUCUCCCUUUCAAA